GAUUAUAUGAAGAAAAGUUGCAGCUGAAUCAUUAUUAUGGCAGAAGGGAAAUCUACUGAAUCACAGUCACAUUUCCUAAUACCCAAUGACUCCAGUUCAUCGUUUGUCAAACUUUCAUCACUACAAAAAGAAACAUAACCACUCAAUAGCAAAAAAUAUCAUGGAUAUAAUAAGUUACAACAUAUAGGGCGAUUAUUAUAGCACUUUUAGGAAAACUACCAUCCAAAAGUAUACUAUUGAUACUCUUAAUAUGAGUGUGGCAUGGUUUAGUUUUUUUGUCAGGCAUGGCUACCCAAACAUUUCUGAUAUUGGAGAAGAAAAUAUUAGUCACACCUUGAACAAUAAUAACAACAAAAUUGUACUAAAGAACAUCAUGUGUGCCCAUAAAAGAACGUGUUCUGAGAAAUUUGAUAACACAUGCAUUAUGUUUAUAUAUGACCCCAGCCACAAGCUUUAAUUUUACUUUACUACUACUUUUCAACUACAAUUGAUGCUCUUUAUUACUGGAAUUCAGUUUACACCCUAAUGCUUAUUCCCAUUAGUAAUCUGCUUGAUAAUUGUCACUUCAGCCAUGCAUUUUCUCCAUAUGACUGCAGGAGCCAUGCUCAGAUUUGUGUUCCCAGGUUUAUGACUCGCAUUUUCUCCAUAUGACUUGCAUUCCCAGGUUUAUGGAGAUUUGCGAUGCUCAGAGGGACUAAUAUUGCUAAUGAAAAAAAACCACUUGAUAAUGCAUGUUAUUUACAAAAGGUACAUACCUGGAGUCAUUGGGUAAUACUCAUAAAUGUUGUGACUCGGUGCGGGAACGAUUUCUGAAUGAAGGUCAACAAGACGGGGUACAGGUAUACCUGGACUUCCUUGGGGAUGUAGAUCAACAAGACGGGGUAGAGGUCAACAUGAGAAGAUGAAAUAAAAACCAUUUUAUAAUGCAAGUUAUUUACAAAAGCCCCAAACAUGGAGUCAUUGGGUCGUACUCAUCAAUGUUGUGACUUGGUGCGGGAACGAUUUCUGGGAUGGAUUCGUCGACGGAAUUACCCUCAAUAUGGCCUGUAAAAUGAUUUCUCAUGUUGUGUUUACAUCAGAAUAAAGGUCAACAAGACAGGGCAGAGGUAUACUUGGACUUCGUUGGGGAUGUAGAUCAACGAGGGGGUAGAGGUACAUCCGAUGCCUUUCUCUGUUCCGGUGCCUUGCUAUUACAAUUUCCCAUACUUCGUUGGGGAUGUAGAUCAACAAGAGGGGGUAGAGGUAAAUUUCAAUGUCAACGUACAGGAGGACAAAAC